UUAAUAUAAGGGCAAACCUAUUCGAAAGUUAGGGACGCAAAACCACAGGUCUAAAGUCUGCUAUAGAGACAAUGAUGGCUGGGCUGUCGUA
rnacentral:ncRNA from 1 species